rnacentral:rRNA from 1 species
GAUGAACGCUGGCGGCGUGCCUAAUACAUGCAAGUCGAGCGAACGGACGAGAAGCUUGCUUUUCUGAUGUUAGCGGCGGACGGGUGAGUAACACGUGGAUAACCUACCUAUAAGACUGGGAUAACUUCUGGAAACCGGAGCUAAUACCGGAUAAUAUUUUGAACCGCAUGGUUCAAAAGUGAAAGACGGUCUUGCUGUCACUUAUAGAUGGAUCCGCGCUGCAUUAGCUAGUUGGUAAGGUAACUGCUUACCAAGGCAACGAUGCAUAGCCGACCUGAGAGGGUGUUCGGCCACACUGGAACUGAGACACGGUACAGACACAUACGGGAGGCAGCAGUAGGGAAUCUUCCGCGAUGGGCGAAAGACUGACGGAGCAACGCAGCGUGAGUGAUGGAGGUCUUCGGAUCGUAAAACUCUGUUAUUAGGGAAGAACAUAUGUGUAAGUAACUGUGCACAUCUUGACGGUACCUAAUCAGAAAGCCACGGCUAACUACGUG